UACGGGGGGGGCAAGCGUUGUUCGGAAUUACUGGGCGUAAAGGGCUCGUAGGUGGCCAACUAAGUCGGACGUGAAAUCCCUCGGCUUAACCGGGGAACUGCGUCCGAUACUGGCAGGCUUGAAUCCGGGAGAGGGAUGCGGAAUUCCAGGUGUAGCGGUGAAAUGCGUAGAUAUCUGGAGGAACACCGGUGGCGAAGGCGGCCCUCUGGACGGUGACUGACGCUGAGACGCGAAAGCGUGGGGAGCAAACAGG
rnacentral:rRNA from 1 species